UACGGAGGGGGCUAGCGUUGUUCGGAAUUACUGGGCGGAAAGCGCACGUAGGCGGCUUUGCAAGUCAGAGGCGAAAGCCCGGGGCUCAACCCCGGAAUUGCCUUUGAGACUGCAUCGCUAGAAUUGUGGAGAGGUAAGUGGAAUUCCGAGUGUAGAGGUGAAAUUCGUAGAUAUUCGGAAGAACACCAGUGGCGAAGGCGACUUACUGGACACAUAUUGACGCUGAGGUGCGAAAGCGUGGGGAGCAAACAGG
rnacentral:rRNA from 1 species